rnacentral:lncRNA from 1 species
AAUACCUUUUUUAGUUACCAAAAUAAGUUGCUCUGUGGAGAAUUUCUGAUGAUCUCAUGGUGAUUUUCCUGCACCCGGAAGACACUUUGCUUUGCUUUGGGACCAUGGAUAUUCCUUGGGGCAGCCACCAAGGAUGAAUAAGGUUUGAAUGGGGAGGCACUGGCCUCGGAGCUCCUUGCUGCUGACAUCAGUUGUGCCCUUGUAGGAGACGUCCUGGUCCUGUCUGCCUCAGAGGCUUCCAUCUGCGGAUUUCCUGAGGUCGUCCCCUUACUCCUCUGCUGCAGUCUCUCUCAACAUUUCAACUGUCUGCUCCAGAAAGUUACUCUGUCACUAAGUAAAAUAAAUACAAACAAAAUAAGCAAUAAUCUACCCCCUUCCUUUCUCCUCUGGUCCCCUCUCUGUCUGCCUGUCACCCCCUCCUCAAUGAGAACGUGGAUCCCUCGUGGCAUUUCUCUGGAGGGAUGGCCCAGGCUUUCCCAGCCCAUGCACUCUCAGCCAGA